rnacentral:rRNA from 1 species
CCUACGGGUGGCAGCAGUGGGGAAUAUUGCACAAUGGGGGAAACCCUGAUGCAGCGAAGCAGCGUGAGUGAAGACGUAAUUCUUGAUGGAAAGCUCCAUCAGCAGGGAAGAAAAGGACGGUACCUGAGUAAGACUCCACGGAUAACUCGGUGCCAGACGCCGCGGUAAUACGUAGGGAGCAAGCGUUAUCCGGAUUGACUGGGUGUAAAGGGAGCGUAGACGGCAGUGAAAGUCUGGAGUGAAAGGCGGGGGCUCAACCCCCGGAGUGCUCUGGAAACUGUACGGCUGGAGUGCAGGAGAGGUAAGUGGAAUUCCUGGUGUAGCGGUGAAAUGCGUAGAUAUUAGGAGGAACACCAGUGGCGAAGGCGGCUUACUGGACUGUAACUGACGUUGAGGCUCGAAAGCGUGGGGAGCAAACAGGAUUAGAUACCCUGGUAGUC